GAACAUUUUGGGAGUUUUCUCAAAAACAUUUCAAGUUUCAUGGUUUGUAUUUCAGUUGGGUGGACACUCUAACCUGUUGGUAGCACUAUAUGAACAGUCAGAGGCUGACUGAUGGUUCAAAGUUCAAACUGUGGACAGCCUGACCUCCCGGUGAACAGGUUCAGGUCUGAGCAUUGCUGUUUUAGCUUCAGGCAAAAAGGAACAACGACUGUAAACAUAAACAGAGUAAAUCAAGAGUCUGAGCUGAGCUAUAUUUUGGCGGGUGUGUGGAAGUAAAUAAAGAUGGUAUACAAAGAUAUGUUGAAGUACAGGUGGACGCACUGAUGGACUUGGUCACAGCGUGACGUCAGGAACGCUCGGCACUAACGACAGCACCAGAUAGAAUGGUUUAACUUAGCACCUAAAAAUGCACCAUGGCCUGAAAAAAUGCCUGAAAAAAGCACCAGCUAGCCCGUUAGCACAGACUUAAGGAAACAGGAAGCUGUGACAAACAACGCACCUGUUUUUAUUUUUUUUACGAGCUUUAGUUGUUUGUGCAGCAUUUGCCUGUUUCAAAGAGGACACAGCUCUUUCUUUCAUUGCUUUGUUUUUUUUUAUCCUGGUGGAUGAUCCUGGUACUGCUACGUUGACAACAGCAAAAUCUAAGUUCACAGACCGCUUCAUGACUAAAACUGUGGAUCUGUUCCAGACCAGUUUUGGAACUCAAAUGCUGGUUGAAACUUUAUAGUUUGUUUUAUCACCCCCUGCUGGAGAGAACGGGCCUAUACUCCUGCUCUUUUGACCUGUGGGAUGCUGGCUUCAUGCGUCUACCCUGCUGUCCGAUCACAACCUGUCUUGGUAACAGUGGUGGCUAAUGUAUAAGCUAACUAUGACGCGUAGAAAAAAAACAAAAAA